rnacentral:rRNA from 1 species
UACGGAGGGUCUCAAGCGUUGUUCGGAUUCAUUGGGCGUAAAGGGGUGUGUAGGUGGCGCCGUAAGGUACGGGUGUGAAAUUUCGGAGCUUAACUCCGAAACUGCAUUCGAUACUGCGGUGCUUGAGGACUGGAGAGGAGACUGGAAUUCAUGGUGUAGCAGUGAAAUGCGUAGAGAUCAUGAGGAAGACCAGUGGCGAAGGCGGGUCUCUGGACAGUUCCUGACACUGAGACACGAAGGCCAGGGGAGCAAACGGG